rnacentral:rRNA from 1 species
UACGAAGGACCCAAGCGUUAUCCGGACUUAUUGGGUUUAAAGGGUGCGUAGGCGGAUUAGUAAGUCAGUGGUGAAAGCCCAUCGCUUAACGGUGGAAUUGCCAUUGAUACUGCUAGUCUUGAGUAUGGUUGAGGUGGGCGGAAUGUGUCAUGUAGCGGUGAAAUGCUUAGAUAUGACCCAGAACACCAAUUGCGAAGGCAGCUCGCUAAACCAUUACUGACGCUGAUGCACGAAAGCGUGGGGAGCAAACAGG